rnacentral:lncRNA from 1 species
AUGGGGGCACCGUCCGCAGAUGCCGACCGCACUCUGUUCGUGGGUAACCUGGAGACGAACGUGACAGAGGAGCUCCUCUUCGAGCUGUUCCACCAGGCUGGGCCAAUAAUAUAAAGGUAAAAAUCCCAAAAGAUAAAGAUGGCAAACUGAAGCAGUUUGCAUUCAUGAACUUCAAACACGAAGUGUCUGUUCCCUACGCCAUGAAUCUGCUCAAUGGAAUCAAACUUUUCAGAAGGCCUAUCAAAAUUCAGUUUAGAUCAGGAUGUAGUCACGCCUCUCAGGAUGCCAGUAUGUCAUAUCCCCAGCAUCGUGUUGGAAAUUUAAGCCCAACCUCCACAUCUCCUAAAAGCUAUGAAAGGACAGUGGGUAACGUGACUCUGACAGCUCAGAUGGUCCAGAGGUCCUUUUCUUCUCCAGAAGCUUAUCAGCGGCAAGCAAUGGUAGAUAAACAAUGCUUUCAGACAGAUGUCAUACACUGGGAAAUUUGGUACUCCACAUGCAGAUCAGUUGCGAUUUUCACCAUCAGCUCAACCACAUGGUCAUACCUUUAACCAGUCUUCCAGCUCCCAGUGGCGCCAAGAUGCACUGCCAUCACAGCGUAAAAGACAGAAUUCUCACCCCUACCUAGCAGAUAGACACUAUAGCCGUGAGCAGCAUUACUCUGACCAUGGGUCUGACUAUCAUUACAGAGGAGGCCGAGAAGAUUUCUACUAUGACGACAGGAAUCAUGAUGGCUGGAGCCAUGACUAUGAUAACAAAAGGGACAGUAGUAGAGGUGGGAAGUGGCCCUCAUCCUGACACUAA